rnacentral:tRNA from 1 species
CACCCUAUAGCUCAGACGGAUCAGUAGCGCCUCGCUUCGAACGAGGAGACUCCGGUUCGAGUCCGGAUGGGGUGUCCA